CCUACGGGUGGCAGCAGUGGGGAAUAUUGGGCAAUGGGCGCAAGCCUGACCCAGCAACGCCGCGUGAAGGAAGAAGGCUUUCGGGUUGUAAACUUCUUUUGUCAGGGACGAAGCAAGUGACGGUACCUGACGCAUAAGCCACGGCUAACUACGUGCCAGCAGCCGCGGUAAUACGUAGGUGGCAAGCGUUAUCCGGAUUUACUGGGUGUAAAGGGCGUGUAGGCGGGGAAGCAAGUCAGAUGUGAAAACCACGGGCGCAACCUGUGGCCUGCAUUUGAAACUGUUUUUCUUGAGUGCUGGAGAGGCGAGUGGAAUUCCGGGUGUAGCGGUGAAAUGCGUAGAGAGACGGAGGAAUACCAGUGGCGAAGGCGGAUUGCUGGACAGUGACUGACGCUGAGGUGCGAAAGCGUGGGGAGCAAACAGGAUUAGAUACCCGUGUAGUC
rnacentral:rRNA from 1 species